UCGGGAAUUUUGGGCAAUGGGCGAAAGCCUGACCCAGCAACGCCGCGUGAGGGAUGAAGUAUUUCGGUAUGUAAACCUCGAAAGAAUGGGAAGAAUAAAUGACGGUACCAUUUAUAAGCUCCGGCUAACUACGUGCCAGCAGCCGCGGUAAUACGUAGGGAGCAAGCGUUGUUCGGAUUUACUGGGCGUAAGGGGCGCGUAGGCGGCGCGGUAAGUCACUUGUGAAAUCUCUGAGCUUAACUCAGAACGGCCAAGUGAUACUGCUGUGCUAGAGUGCGGAAGAGGCAACCGGAGUUCUUGGUGUAGCGGUGAAAUGCGUAGAUAUCAAGAGGAACACCUGAGGCGAAGGCGGGUUGCUGGGCCGACACUGACGCUGAUGCGCGAAAGCCAGGGGAGCAAACG
rnacentral:rRNA from 1 species